UCCCUGUCGGUCUACUGGUUAAGACUCUGUGCUCCCAAUGCAGGGGGCACAGGUUCGAUCCCUGGGUAGGGAA
rfam:TPA: Bos taurus chromosome 21, whole genome shotgun sequence.